GACAGAGGGUGCAAACGUUGUUCGGAAUUACUGGGCGUAAAGCGCGUGUAGGCGGCCAUCUAAGUCGGGCGUGAAAUCCCACGGCUCAACCGUGGAAGUGCACUCGAAACUGGAUGGCUAGAGUCCUGGAGAGGAAGGUGGAAUGCUUGGUGUAGAGGUGAAAUUCGUAGAUAUCAAGCGGAACACCGGUGGCGAAGGCGGCUUUCUGGACAGUGACUGACGCUGAGACGCGAAAGCGUGGGGAGCAAACAGG
rnacentral:rRNA from 1 species